AUGACGUCAAGGCGUCAAAGGCAAAACAACAGAGAAAAGUGGUUUCAGCAGGUGUUUGCCCUUAAACCUUUGGUGAAUAAAUUAAUUUUCAUAACUGACUUUUAAUUAAGAAAGCUGCAUGUAGAGUUCAUUUUUUUUUUUGGGUUUUUGCUCCUGGUGAUUGCUCAUAAAUGUUGAAUUCAAAUUCUUGAAGUUGCUUUGUUAAAUUGGAGGUUUUUUUGGUUUUUUGGACUUGCAGCCUAACCAGAGGUGGUGGAUGAAUAAUGUUCUUUUAAGUGGUACAUACUGUCAUUCACCUUAUCAGUACUAAAGAUUUGGGUUUACUUAUUAGUUUAAUCAAGGGGAUUUAGAAAAAAAGAUUCAUACUAACUCUAAGAAAGCAGAAAAGGACCAGAGACAACCUGUAAUUUUUUAGCGAUUUGUAUUUCAUGAACUUUUAUAUUAUUCAUUUAGGUUGUGUGAUUAAGAAAAGUUUUUUAUAUCUAUUUAGGUUGUACCAUUUUGAGCUCUGAAGGAUAGUGUAUUAAUGAAUGUUAAGGAUAGUGUAUUCAUGAAUGUUACCAUUAAAAGCAUAACUGUUGUUGCAUAUACCAAAAUUGGUUUACAUUUUCAUGUUAAAGUUUGCUAAUGAUUAAAACUUUUAUGUGUUCCUUUUUCUAAUUUGGGGACAAUCUCCAUUAUCCAAGCAAAGCGUCCGAUCUAAUGGCGAUGAAGUAAGAAACAAAAGAAGAAAUUUUGUCAUCAUCAAGUUUAUGAACAAAAGGGAAAUGUGUGCAAGAGCUAAGGACGGUUGUUAUCUACUAGCUUUCCUAAUACAUGUGUUUCUUUUUUUUCUUUUUAUGUUGUAUAACAGUAGUACUAUAGAAAUUGUCUUAUAUAUGAGACUGAAAAACAUGAUAUAUUCACG
rnacentral:lncRNA from 1 species